rnacentral:tRNA from 1 species
AGCCCGAUAGUCUAGCGGUCAAAUAACAUUUUAGAUCAAGGAUUCCGCCCUCUGGAGGCGGAGACGGCAGUUCGAAUCUGCCUCGGGCUA